rnacentral:tRNA from 1 species
GGGCGCUUAGCUCAGUUGGUAGAGCGUCAGCCUUACAAGCUGAAUGUCGCAAGUUCGAAUCUUGCAGCGCCCA